ensembl:snRNA U6 U6 spliceosomal RNA
GUGCUCGCUUCAGCAGCAUAUAUACUAAAAUUAGAAUGAUACAGAGAUUAGCAUGGCCCUAGCACAAGGAUGACAGGCAAAUUCAUGAAGCAUUCCAUUAAAAA